ensembl:lncRNA
GAGUGGCAGGGACUGCUGUGUGGUUGAGGCUCCGCCAACUCAGAGACUCCUUUGGACAUAGUCUCAUUUGCUACUACUAUAUGGUUGCAUAUUUGCAGGCAGAGCACAAGCUGUCCUCUUGGUGCCAUAAGCCAUGAACUGCCAGCCUUUUUCAUUUUGAGAGUCUCCAUUUCCCCGACUGAUAAGCUCAGACUUGGCUGUCUCUCCUUCAGUACUGCUGAGGGUUCAGGCUCUUGAAGCUGCAGGAUUUUGUAGACAAUCUGUUUAAUCUGCUUUGAGCAGAGGGUUGGACAAAGUGAUCUCAAUGCUACCUUCCAACCUCAAAUAUUCUGUGAUACUGUAAAACUGCUGCACAGACUGCUCUGUCUCUUGGUUUUCUGUACUGGCUGUGGUUCCUAUCUUUCCUUCUCUUCCUGCCGCUCCUAGAUUUGGAGGCUAUAUCUCAUCCUAUGCACUGUUUUGUUUCAUUUUUACAAAUUAAAUGAACAAUAGAACUAUUUGGUCCAGGGAUUUCUCUAUCUGUGUCAAUCUAAUGCAGACUCGAGUAUGAGGGGCUAUGAACAGCCACUUCUUACUGAAUGAUUGGUGCAUUAAUCCAUAUUUACUGUUAUUAUUUUAUGAAUUUUGAAAUCUGUAGUCAUAUCUCAUUCAGAUAAAUCUACUAAAGUGAGUGGAAGUUUAGCUGUGUAACAAAUGGGUAAUAAAUGAAUAAGACCUCCAGGAUUUGGCAUGCUAAUGAUUAUAAUUUAACACUACUAUAGCUCUUUCCAACUUCAAAGUGCUUCACGAACAUUAACCAUUCUAAUUAAUUUCAUUUAGAGAUGUUCCUACUGUAUCUUUUCCUCUACUGAGCACUGUAGUACACUUACUGCUGUAUUGUAAUUCAAAGGUUGUUAUGGUAAAGAUUUUGACAAGAACAGAGAAUCCCCUGUGAAAAUUUGCAAUUGUGCUAAUUACAUCAGAGAUCAGAUGUCAAGAUUAUCCUUGAAAAAGAUCCUAGCACAUACCACAGGUAUACCAAGUCUCUCAAUAGAAGAGCUAGACUUGGCCAAUCUACCACUUCCUCUGGCAUUUCCCUGCUGUAGGGAUAAACAGAUUUAAUAACUUGCAAAAUUGAUUGAAAGCCAUGUUAACAUUCAUACUCAGGCUCAGAAAAUGCAGAUGAGGAAACAAAGAACCUAUGUAACUAUCCUACCACUACCAGUCAACUUGUCAAAGCCAAAUAAAGUAGGACAGAAGAAUGACAUAUGAUUGUAAGACAGUGAGGCAUCUGUGUUUCAUAAUUUUCCUAUCCUGAGAUACAUUACUCAAAGUGUUAUCUUGUUAGGCUAUCUUACUGGGAGUUACAAAAGACAGUGUAAUAGAUACGUAUCAGUAAUUUGACAGAUUGGUCCAGCAUCCUCACUAUGGGGAGCUGGCUGUCAGUUUUGGGAUGUCUUUUCACAGGCCUUGUAUAUGUAGUAGGAGUAGACUGUGAGCAAAAGCAUUUGGCCACCCAGAGGUACAAGAGGGGUUGCCCUUCUGCUAAGGGCUGUCUGAACAGCUUUCCCUCUUGGUGUUUUUUUUUUUUGUUUUAGGCAAUUCAGUAAGGCACCAUCCCUUGGAAGCCCAGCAGUUGGUGUAUUGAUAUUUUAAGUUCCUGUCCUAGGACGUAGUAGCACUGUCCAUGGGGAAGUACCCACAAGCCAUGGAGCAUCUUGUGAUCGGGAAAUGAUGUCUGACUAGAAUGCCUAUAGAGGUUCUCUCUUCCAAGCUAAAGAAGACUUCUCAAGUUGGAUAUCUCAGUAAUGGGCUCCUGACUCCAUCUAUGCACUUUAGAAAUGUUGACAUUCAGAACUUAAGGUCACUCUGCUAUGUUGGAUGACAGGGAGAGUAGUGACUCAUACUCUGCCAUAAAUCUGAGGAAUGUCAAGAAAAUUCAGAGGAGUUCUUCAAAUGGAGAUCAAAAGCAGAAACUUUUUGUAGACUUACGAAGUACCCAGAAACAUGAUGAAAAUGGCUUAUGAGGCAGAGAGCCACAUUUAAACAAGGACCUGUAGAAAGAGAACAUUGCUGUUAUGAGUAAUGCUAAUUCUCUGGUAGCUUUGGAAAAAAAAUCAGGAGAAAACCUGAUUCAAGUUUCUUCUCUGAUUUCUUCACAGGAAAAACGAUUUGAAUCAAGGAGAGAUAUUCAUUGCUGUGUACUGAAGAUAUGUUUCAAUACUGUCUAGUAUACUUAACCAAUUAUUGGGAUAACUCUUUAGCAAGGAGAGGAAGACAUUCACCUGAGAAGGAAAGUGAAGCCCUAUGCCAGUAUUAGAUUACUUGGCUUUACAAGGACAACAAGACUGUUAGGCAUACUUCAAUUUCUAGGCCAAUCUCAUGGUGGUGCAAAAUGUUGCUUCAUGUUUCCUCAAGUGUAGAAGGGAUCUGAAUCUGAAUCACCAACACUCAACCUAUACUCAUAUAAUUAGUGAUUGAACUAAAACAGAGAAGAUUUUUUUUUUUCCUGAUCAUUUUUUAAGUGUAGGCCAUCAUUACCUUAAUUUCCCAAGCUGUAGGAAUGAGGUAUUAGAUGUCAUGAAAUGAAAUGAAUAUUGGAUAAGAAAAAAAAAAAUGUAAAUCUGUUUCCUCUGGAAUACUUCUGAUUCUUAAAUUUGCCUUCCAAACAGAAAAAAUGGUGAUUUCUAUGGCUUUAGUUUUGAUGAGAUUAUCAAUUCUUCCAUGCAGAUUCUCUUUCAGAAAUGAAGUUUAGCCUGUUACUUUGUCUUAAAAUUGAUGUCUAGUCUUAAAGUAGAGAGCAGAGCAAAAUGUAGAGCAGGUGAAAGAUUAGAAUUUAUGUAGGCUUAAAACUGAUUGUUAAGAGGGAAUUUAUUGAACCUUAUAAAAUCCUCAAUUGCAUGCAUAAUGUCCCUAUAGUUUACUGUUUCCUUUAAUAUAAACCAAGGAAUUAUAAGUAUGGAACAGAUGGUAUGAAACACGUUUUCCAUACCGAGAAUUGUAAGUGCAUCUUCCUGCAGAAAGGUUGUUGAAACAGUUUCUAGGACUAAAAAUUCUAACCUGUAUUUAAUCUGUGUAAAAAAAUAUAGGUGUGAAGUUUUGAUCACUGAACUUAGUUUAUGAAAUGCAAACCCUAAGACAAUCUAUUAGUCCACUUGAGAUACUCAGCUAUAGAAGAAAUAAGGAAUUGCUCUGGAAUUAUGACAGAAUUUGACUGUGGUGAAUGUUGAUGCCCUGUGAAACUAAGAGGAAGGGAAAACGUACACAACAGAACCCAAUGAGUAAUCUUUUGUCAGUCUUUUUGGUUUCCCUUUGUAUUUUUUUAACUACAUAAUUUCUCUUUUUAGUGGUCCUGAAAUCCUUUCUAACUAUCACCUAGCAUCCAUGCAUUUGCAGAUCCUAUUGGUAUUCUUGUGAUAGAAUUUUCUACACAUAUAGAGUUGUCUCUGAGCUACCUGUCUGUACCUCUCACUCAAAAAUCUUCUUCAGGACUAGUUUUGAAGAGAUUUUACUGAAGAAUUCUGUUGAUCGAUGAACUCUACAGCAUGUUCAUAGGGCAUAAAGAGAGGAAGAACAUUUUGGGAAGAACAUAAAGGUCUGCAAGAUGGAAAUGAAUUUACUCUCAAAAACUGUAUAACCUGUGAAGAUAGGUAAAUAAUUUUUAAGGUUGAUUUAUUCCUUGUAGGAGUUAAAUUCUUCUCUGGAGUUGUCAUUCUCUCUCCUUUCACAAUGUGAGGAGCAGAAUGGCACAAAAAUCUGUCAACAAGCCAAAUCCUUAUUUACAUUGAAGUCAUUUCAGAGUUGUGUUAUGGUAACCAAAAUUGAAGUGUUGAUAAUCAGUGCAACAAUUCCAGAUUAAAUUACAAUCUAAUGCUGUUUCUUCUGUUAUGUCCGGGUAAAUCAGGAAGGUUUUUAUAGUGACUUUGGUGUCAUUGGCAUGGAUUUCAAAUGGUUUAAUUAAGAUUAAUUGGAGCCUGUAUCUCUGAAAUGUCUGUUGCAGAUGUUUUUUGAAUAAAGAUGUAU